UGUGUGUGUGACCUUAUGGUUAAACACAGAGCAAAGCUCAUAAACUCACAGACAGCCACGCAUUUAAACUCUAAACACCAGGACAAACUCGACCUACGGCACACACGCUACAGACAUUACGCUUGUAUUUGAGGAACGUGGGAAAGGAAACUCUGGCUGACUAAACCCACUACAGAAGACAUGAGCAGCGGUGUGACACGGCGCACGAGCGCUCAAGUUUCUGGUGAGAAUCCACCUCAAAAGAACGGAUUCAUUAAUUAUGAUAAUCUUACAUAUUUGAAGGAAAUGGCACAGAGCAGAGAUGAGAUUGAGCAGAAGAUCAAAGCCGAUGUGAUCAAUCAGGUUAAACUCCAACUGAAUGAAGUUCUGGACAAAGCACUCACAGACUCAAAGCAAAACACACUUUCAAACACAGAUGGGAAGGGAAACUCUAACAGCAGGGACAACCCGGAGCAAGGGAAGGUGUUUGUGGCCAGACGGUCUCUGCUAGAUGAGUUAUUCGAGAUCAGUCACAUCAGGACCAUUUAUCACAUGUUCAUCGCUGCACUUUUUCUCUUUGCCCUGAGCACUCUGGCAGUGGAUUACAUCGACCAGGGCAGACUGGUGCUGGACUUUGAUUUGUUCUUGUAUGCUUUCGGUCAGUUGACUACGGUCAUUUGGGCCUGGGGUCUUAUGUUUGGUUACACAUUGCUCGGGCCGUAUCACGUUGUGAGAGUUUGGGGCGGACUGUAUCACAGCUGUCAGAAGAGGACCCGAGUGACAGCAGGGAUGGCUCUGAUUUUGUGCGCAUCACAGCUGAGCAUGCUGGGAAUAUUUCCAGUGUGUGUAGUGCUGCGGUAUCAGCUGCCGCCCGCGUCACGAUUCAUCAUCAUAUUAGAACAGAUCAGAUUUGUGAUGAAAAGCUACUCGUUCAUUCGUGAGACGGUACCAGUUGUUUUCAGAAACACACCACAGAAGGGUGAACUGUUGACAUAUCCGUCUUUCCAAAGCUAUCUCUACUUUUUAUUUUGUCCGACACUGAUCUAUCGGGAAGCUUAUCCACGAAACUCCCACAUCAGGUGGAACUAUGUCGGCAAGAACUUUCUAAAGAUUUUGGGCAGCGUGUUCUAUCUGUACUUCAUCCUGGUGCGAUUGUGCAUCCCAGUGUUUAUGAACAAAAGCAGUCAAGCGUUCAGCACACGAACACUCAUUCUGGCUCUGUUUCACGCCACUUUUCCAGGUAUGCUGAUUUUAAUGUUGGGAUUUUACGCCUUUCUACACUGCUGGCUCAACGCCUUCGCCGAGAUGCUGAGUUUUGCUGACCGGAUGUUCUACAAGGAUUGGUGGAACUCGACCUCUUUCACAAAUUACUAUCGCACCUGGAACAUCGUCGUACACGACUGGCUUUACUACUACGGUUAUCGAGACUUGCUCUGGCUGUUGGGUCAGAAGUUUCGAUCUAUGGCCACACUCUCCGUGUUUGCGCUUUCUGCUUUGGUUCACGAAUACGUCUUCACCCUGGGCUUCGGUUUCUUCUACCCAGUGAUGUUCUGCACAUUCGCUGGAAUCGGAGUGGUGUUUAACUUUACCCUGAAUGACAAGCGGAAGAGUCCGGUGUGGAACGUCAUUAUGUGGACGUGUUUGUUCAUCGGUCAGGGGGUUCAUGUGUGUCUGUAUUGUCUGGAAUGGUACGCCCAGAUUCACUGCCCGCGUACCGGGACAAGCUUCUGGGAGCUGGUGACACCCCGAUCAUGGACAUGUAGCUAUCAGUGAAGACACAUCGCUUUCCGACCGGACCGAACCUUAGGAACCAAAAACAGAGCUGCUGAGACGGCGAAAAAACAUGAACUGCCUCAAUUCUACGUGGCAUUGAUUCAACAAGGUGCUGAAAGCAUUCUUUAGAAAUAUUGGCCCAUAUUGAUAGGAUAGCAUCUUGCAGUUGAUGGAGAUUUGUGGGAUGCACAAAGCUCCCCUUCCACCUCACCCCAAAGAUGCUCUAUUGGGUUGAGAUCUGGUGACUGUGGGUUUAGUACAGUGAACUCAUUGUCAUGUUCAAGAAACCAAUUUGAAAUGAUCGGAGCUUUGUGACAUGGUGCAUUAUCCUGCUGGAAGUAGCCAUCAGAGGAUGGGUACAUGGUGGUCAUAAAGGGAUGGAUAUGGUCAGAAACAAUGCUCAGGUAGGCCGUGGCAUUUAAAUGAUGCCCAAUUGGCACUAAGGGGCCUAAAGUGUGCCAAGAAAACAUCCCCCACACCAUUACAACACCACCAUAAUUGCAUUAAUGAGAAAUUGAACAGGUGUUCCUAAUAAUCCUUCAGAUAUUUUUUCACAGUUUAUCCUGAGUUGAUAAUUGCAGAAUGUCUUCUCCAGUUCAUCAGUUUUAUUUGAGAAAACACAAGGGAUUUUAUGUGUAAUACAAAUACCAAUUUAAAUCAGGAAAUAAAGUUUAAAACAUUAUGAACCAAGCUGAGACGUAAAAGGGGAACAAUUCUAGAUUUUGCAUAUGUAAGGUUUCUAGGUCACUAUUCAAAUGUAAGCAAAUGUGGCACACUGAGCGUAUGAACUCUGUUCAGGUCACAUUUGUUUAUUUUAGCAGACGAGACGCUCUUUGAUCAUGGAUCAGGAUUCUUCAUGACAGUUUGGAUGUUUGUGUUCUUCACACCAAAACAAAAAUUCUGUCAUUUAUUCACACUCAUGUAAUUCCAAACCUGUAAAACUUUCUUCUGCAAAUCACAAAAGAAGAGAUUUGGACAAAUGUGGUGACAGAAAACCCUUGGUUCCUCAUUGACUUGCAUUAGUUUUGUGUUCAUAGGAUAGAAGUGAAUGGGGACCAAUGGUUUUUGUUAACCAACAUUCUUCAAAAUAUCUUUUGUGUUUUGCAGAAGAAAGUAAUUAAGGUUUGAAAUGACAAGAGGACGAGUAAAUGAUGAUAGGAUUUAAGUUUUACACCCUUUACCUCAAAUGGUUAUGCUUAUGAAUAAUGAAACAUCAUUUGCUCUCAGACUGUGAACAGGAUGAAAUGCAUAUCAAAUAAAACCUGAUGUCUCCUCUUA